rnacentral:tRNA from 1 species
GCCUGGGUGGCUCAGUUGGUUGAGCAUCAGACUUUGGCUCAGAUCAUGAUCUCAGGGUUUGUGGAUUCGAUCCCCACAUCGGGCU